rnacentral:tRNA from 1 species
GCUUUCGUGGUGUAGUGGUCAGCACGCUAGAAGCGAAUUCGAAAGGUUUGGGGUUCAAGUCCCGGCGAGGGCA